UAAGUCAGCGGUAAAAUUUCUGCGCUCAACGCAGUCGUGCCGUUGAAACUGGGGGGCUUGAGUCUAGAUGAAGUGGGCGGAAUUUGUAGUGUAGCGGUGAAAUGCUUAGAUAUUACAAGGAACUCCGAUUGUGCAGGCAGCUCACUAAGCUAUCACUGACGCUGAAGCACGAAAGCGUGGGUAUCAAACAGGAUUAGAUACCCUGGUAGUCCACGCAGUAAACGAUGAUCACUCGCUGUCUGCGAUAUACAGUAGGCGGCCAAGCGAAAGCGUUAAGUGAUCCACCUGGGGAGUACGCCGGCAACGGUGAAACUCAAAGGAAUUGACGGGGGCCCGCACAAGCGGAGGAACAUGUGGUUUAAUUCGAUGAUACGCGAGGAACCUUACCCGGGCUUGAAAUGCAGAGGAAUGUCGUGGAGACAUGUCAGUCGGCAAUGACCUCUGUGUAGGUGCUGCAUGGUUGUCGUCAGCUCGUGCCGUGAGGUGUCGGCUUAAGUGCCAUAACGAGCGCAACCCUCAUCGAUAGUUACCAUCAGGUCAUGCUGGGGACUCUAUCGAGACUGCCGCCGUAAGGUGUGAGGAAGGUGGGGAUGACGUCAAAUCAGCACGGCCCUUACGUCCGGGGCGACACACGUGUUACAAUGGGGGGGACAAGGGGCCGCUACCUGGCGACAGGAUGCCAAUCUCGAAACCCCCUCUCAGUUCGGAUCGGAGUCUGCAACCAGACUCCGUGAAGCUGGAUUCGCUAGUAAUCGCGCAUCAGCCAUGGCGCGGG
rnacentral:rRNA from 1 species